rnacentral:rRNA from 1 species
GGAUAACCUACCCUUUAGGACUGGGAUAACCCUGGGAAACUGGGGAUAAUACCGGAUAGGCAAUUCUUCCUGUAAUGGUUUUUUGUUUAAAUGUUUUUUCGCCUAAGGAUGGGUCUGCGGCCGAUUAGGUAGUUGGUUAGGUAAUGGCUUACCAAGCCGUUGAUCGGUACGGGUUGUGAGAGCAAGAGCCCGGAGAUGGAACCUGAGACAAGGUUCCAGGCCCUACGGGGUGCAGCAGGCGCGAAACCUCCGCAAUGUGAGAAAUCGCGACGGGGGGAUCCCAAGUGCCAUUCUUAACGGGAUGGCUUUUCAUUAGUGUAAAGAGCUUUUGGAAUAAGAGCUGGGCAAGACCGGUGCCAGCCGCCGCGGUAACACCGGCAGCUCUAGUGGUAACAAUUUUUAUUGGGCCUAAAGCGUCCGUAGCCGGUUUAAUAAGUCUCUGGUGAAAUCCUGUAGCUUAACUGUGGGAAUUGCUGGAGAUACUAUUAGACUUGAGACCGGGAGAGGUUAGAGGUACUCCCAGGGUAGAGGUGAAAUUCUGUAAUCCUGGGAGGACCGCCUGUUGCGAAGGCGUCUAACUGGAACGGUUCUGACGGUGAGGGACGAAAGUUAGGGGCGCGAACCGGAUUAGAUACCCGGGUAGUCCUAACUGUAAACGAUGCGGACUUGGUGUUGGGGUGGCUUUGAGCUGCUCCAGUGCCGAAGGGAAGCUGUUAAGUCCGCCGCCUGGGAAGUACGGUCGCAAGACUGAAACUUAA